UUUACCCAACCUGGAUCUGAAACUGACACUGAAGAAACAUAAUUAUGUAGCCUGGAAUAACAUUGAACGACUGGUGCUAAUUAUAUUGUAAACCCAUAUUACAAUGCAUCGAAUGUGCCUGCACCCACAAUAGGUUCUUGGUAAAGGCACUGAGGCGAUCAAGCACACAAUGGCGGGAAAUUUCGAAUAGCUGGUGGUAGGCAGGUGAGAGUGAAUGUUUUUACCAACAGGAAUGACCAGAAUGCAUCUGCACUGUCUAUGGACAACAAAUGGCGUCAACACUAUCAUCUUCGUGAUAGGCUGUAAAGCCCUUUGAAGAUUACAGCAGAUGAUGUUGAUGAACACUCAAUGAUGAGAGAAUAUGUCUGACCCACACAAUUUAAACAGCCAGCGAGCGGACAACGAAUUUUCUUUUGGUUCUUAAUUUGUACGAGAGGAAGUGAUGGAAACUUCUGGAAGUGAUUUUGAGGCAUUAGUUUGGUGAUAACUAGCAUCUGGUGUCGACCCCAAAGUACCGAUCCAGACUUCGACGUCACUACAAUGGUAAUGAAUGAACGGAUGUUGACAACUACAUCGACGACGACGUCGACGAGGGCCAUAUGGAACUCAUCUACACCCAAGCGGCCAGGUUAGCGAUGGAAGCGGGGCGGUGGAUACAUUGAUGACUACGGGAGGACUUGUCUCAUCAGUAAAACUAAGAAACUUCGGAAUGUCGUAACAUUCAAAUCUAACUUCCAAUUUUGAUAUCUUUAGUCUGAGUUAGGCUUGUUUGCAAGCAGCUUUUCUCAAGUUAUUAAA